rnacentral:tRNA from 1 species
UGAGAUGUAGCCCAGUUGGUAGAGUGCUUGCCUUGCAUGCACAAGGCCCUGGGUUCAAUCCCCAGCACCCCAC